CGGCGCCCGUCGGCAGUGUGUUCUCGGGCCCCGCCGCGCUGUUGUUAUUUAUUUAACCAACGGGGAGCAACGAAACUCAGCCGGAGGGGUCGGGACGGCGGGGCAGGAGCUGCAGCCAGGGCGGUGAAAGGGCUCGGGCCCGAUGUGGCGGCGGCAGCAGCGCCGGGCGGGUAGAGGCCUCUGGCCGAGGCCUGCGGAGCAGCAGCACCGCCGAACGAAUUAAGCGCUCCCGUACCACCCGAGUCCCGCGGGCUCCGGCGCAGCGCCCCGCGCAGCGCCUCCGUCGGCCCCGGAGAGACUCAGUGUGGGCCGUGGGAAAGGGAACGGGGGCUCCAUUCCGGCGGUAGCGUUGGUUCAGGGGCUCACGGAGCGGGUUCGGUGCUGCUCGACCGCAUCACGGCGUUACCGCUGUGAGUACGGGCAGAAAUGUGAAUCGGCCCCGAAACAAAGCGAGAUGAGCCCUGCGGCUUCCUCGCUCUGAAAGGAGAAGGGGAAGUGUGAGUGAUAGAGUAUUGGUCACGUUUAAAAUGAACGCUGUGCAACAAAACGUACAGCCGGUGCCUGUCGCUGCUUUCAACUACCCAAAGUUUAUGUUUGUCCCGCUGGAGAAAUGGUUCCGUUGAAAUGACACCCGCAGCCCUGCCCCAGCAGUGUGUCCCGGGAAACCCAGUGCAGAUUCCAGUGCAACCACCACGGCUCUGUGCAUUUUCUGUAUGCGUUUGUGUGUAUGUGCGUGUGUGCGAGAGCGCGGCUGUGAGAAAGAGAGUAAAUCCCCACAACAAUUGCUGUGGAUGGGCAAUAAACAAUUGCAAUUGGGCAUGGCACGAACUAUGUGCGUUGGAUUAACCUCGCUUGACCUCACCACAAUUGUAUUUAUUUAUCCAAUUCCGUAACAGGUUGCUACUGACCGAAAAGAAGUAGAAGUCAAUGGAUCAACUGCCUUCGUUUUUUAUUUAUUUAUUUAUUUUUUAGAAUUGCCGUUGUUAAAAAAGAAAAAUCAUGACAAUUUGUAUUUAUUUCAUUGCACAACACUGAAGCCAAUAGAUGGGAACUCCUGAGGAAGAGCGCAGUGUGGAGGAUGUGACUGAGCUCUGCAGUGCUAGGGGUAAGAGGAAAGGUAAGCUCUAUGCAUAUUGUUAUGGUUCUGAUGGGCAUUAACCAAUAUAUGUCAGUGCGGUACAGCAAGAUCCCAUCGGGGUGGCUGGGCCCUGUGCGUUUUCCUACUCGGUCUAGCAUGUAAUGAUUCGGUGUAACCGGAUUCUUGAGAAAGGACAGGUUACGUAAACAUUUACUGCUGUGGAGUAACUAUACUAUUUGUACUCUGAUAUGCAGGAAGGAAAGUGUUGAUUAACACAGAAGAAAAAAAAAAAAGCGAAAUUAGCUGAUUGCAUGCUCAUAAGUGCAAGCUGUCAUUGAACUGCUUUUAAAAUAGACACAGCUGGGUGUUUGUGUUGAAAAAUUUCUUGUGUUUUUGCUAAUACUGAAAUAAGCAUGAUUUUGUAUACCAAACAUUUUCAGAUCAUUAAAAUUUCUAAUCUGUGCUGGUUUUAAACACAAAGAAAAGAAACGGAUUCAUUUCGCAGUAAAAUUUGCUGAUAUUAUAUUAACUCAAUCAGGUCUGUACAAACGGGGUAUUGUGCCUUAUCAAAUCCCUUUGAUCCAUUUAAUACACCAAGUGCCAAACGUGUGUAUUGUUUGUUAACAUUGAGCGUUUUAUUCAAAUCCCAGCUCUGCAGCAAACCGGAGGAGCUCUCGUUUAAUGUAACACUGACAUCGCCUGCUGAAAUUUUAAUGCUCUGAGGUGUUCCUUAGGUCAAAGCUGAGUAUGCUUAGCUCUGCAGACAGGGAUGAGAAUGUAGCAGAGAAAGAAAGAAAACCUUCGUCCUUUUGCAUUUCUGAGCAAAGGUCCCAUACGGACAGCAAUGUGUUUUUACAGCGUUUGGUGAUCUGGGCUUAAUAUUCAGUCAUAUAUCAUGGCAGCAGAAUAAAGUACUGUGCAGAAAUUUAGGAUUUAAUGAUGUAUUUUUUUUAGCGCCAUGGAUAUACAGUUCUACCAAAAAAGGUAAUGUUGUGUUCAAUAUGUAGUGCGUAUUGUUCCAAGUCCGUGAGAUUAAUUCACUGUUCAUAGGACAGAAAAGGAUAUGUAGGAAAAGCACGUCAAUUAUUUAAUUAUUUAAUUAUUUCUACUGGACUUUCGAAUCUGAUUUUUCUUUUUCCUUAAAAAAAAAAAAAAAAAAAUUCUGAAAAUUCUCUAUGUAUAAAAGCGGGACUAUUGGCUUUGGACAGACGAAGUUCUGCUCUAACACCAGUUCUUCUGUUAGCUCUGACCUGGCCUCAGCUCCCGGCCACUUCAGCGGUAGCUUUGUAUAUGGUGGCCCUGAAUAAAUGACUGGUUUGACCCUCUCAGCUCCAUCUGCACUCGAAUUCCUGUGAGAGGGUCCAGAAAUUUAGCACUUUCUAGCAUGAAAAUUUUGGUGGAGUGACUGGCGAAACAGCUUGAAAAGAGAAGGGAAUGCACGGCCCCAGCCCGGCAGGGCACUGCCAGUGCGAGGAGGGGCAGCUCUCUGCUCCCCACCCUCAGGGACCCGUGGCGCUAUGGGGCCGAGAGAGUCCCGCUCCGGGGUGAGGGUGAGGACCCCCGGCUCAAAUGGUUGCCAUGCUGUUUGAAUACAGAUUCUGGAUACAAUCCUUACUGAUAAUGUUUCACCGUAGAUUCUUCCCUGAGUGUUUUUUAAAAAUUAAAGGCCGAAGGAAAAGUGUACCACUGUCAGCUCGAUGGAUGCAGAUAUGCUGUGACCCCCACCCCCCGCGGCUCCAGCCUCCAGUCCCCCUUCACACGAAUACAGCGGCUCUGCACUCCCAGGCUCUUCCAAGGGGUUAAGCUGCUAAAAUGUCCUGACAGCUUAAGGAAUGAAUGAGGGUUUUUUCAGCCAUGAAGAAAGAGUAUUUAAUAACCACGCUUCGAUGGCAUCAUGUGUCCACGAAACGAAUCGGGACACCUUAGAUUAACAGCCUCUAAUAUCACGUUGGGUACAGUAAAUGCCUGGAUGUGCGCAUUUAUAACUCUAUCCCCCGGAUUCUAAGCUUGUCUUAUUUAUUCCAGGUUACCUGGGCAAUUAAGGUAAGAGCAGCUCAGCAGACAGCGAUAUCCCGCUGCUCGGGCAGGGCGAAUGGGGUCGGAACGCAGCGCUAACAAAGGCGAGAGGUGGUCAUACAGAUUGAAGAGGGGUGAAUGGGCUGGAGGUGGAGGAAUGAAUGGAGGCAAAGAGAGAGAGGAAGAAGUAUUCAGCGGUCCACCCUUACAUCCUCGUUUGUAUAUUUAAGUUUAGGUGUCUGUCUCUAACCGACUUUCAGUUAAUCCCUAACAGCUGGUCGUGGUGCUAACGUUUAGUGAUUAGAAGGUACUCUAUUUAGCAUGCUGUAUCCUUCUUGCCUGGGUUUUGGUUACAGGUUAUACGAUUAGCAUUGCGAGAACAGUAGUGAACUAAACUUCCCAGUGAGAGGUCUUCACACCAGGGAAGUGUUACUUUGCGGCAGCAGCCCUGCCUCGUCAGUCAUUAGGAAGCUGCAGGUUGUCAGAGCCUUCUCUUGCGCGCACACACGCGCAGACACACACGCGCACACACACAAAACCACAGCACUAAAACUAAAUUAAGAAGCCGAUGAUUAAGACAAGCGUCUACGAGGCCUGUCAUUUCAGCAUCCUUCCAUCAUAACAUUAUGGCACCGAGAAAUUUGCUUUAAAACCCUGGAAAAAAAUGUCUAUGGGAGAGCCUUGUAUUUGAGAUAGCAUAAACGUUAUCAUCGAGUGUAGGCUGGGAACUGCCGCGGAUACAAGAUGGUAUUCCACUGAGGACACGGGUGCUGCAGGGACCUCUGGGCUGUCCGCGCACUCGGCUCACUCAGUGGCCCAAUCUUCCUGUUUUUGCUGGCCUCCUCACUCAAGUCUGCCUUGAGUUCUUCCCUCUGGUGAUUUUGCAAGAAAUGACACAGGCUCUCCUCCCUUCUCUCAUCCUGACUGAACAUUUCGCCUCUGCAUUAGUCAUCGUGGUAGAGAGCAGAGCAAGUCCAGGAGAGAGAGAAGCAGGUCAUGAGGCUUCUCAUGUCGGAAACCUCUUCUUCUUCAUGAGGAAUCUGUUGCCAGAAAACCUAAACCUCAUGAUAACAAAGGAUUUCUCAACCCUCGCCCAAGACUUGUUUGGACUUGUUCAUCUGUGUCCCCAGCAAGCUAUGAGACAAUGAUGUAAAAGAAUAAUCUCUACCACCACCCUGUGACUUAGAGGUUGCUUUAAAAUGGAACACAGAUGAUCCAUGAUGGCAAGAAUCAUGACACCCAAUUCAGAGUGCCAUUAAUGUACAGAAAGAAAUGUAAGAAGAUAUUGGUUGGCUUUGAAUGGGGUGUAAAAUGCACCAGUAUUUCUCUUCAAAUUUGCUCCUGUAUGAAGUGCUUUUCAGCAUUUAAAUCAUUUUAAGUCUACCUGUGGUUUUGAAGUCAGAAUGAUAGAUGAGUAAUAGGCUCUGCAGUCCUCAUAGUGAAAAUCCGUCCCCGUGCAAGUGGCUAUAACAAGGUCAGUCAUUACCUAGAGGUGACAUAAACCAUGAAAAUGUAUGCUUAGAAGGCAUAUACUUGACACAGUGUAAGUCUUAUCUACCCUUGUCUGGGGAUAAAUGACUAAAGAGAUAUCUGCAUGUUUACACAUCUGAGUUCCACUCACAUUGAGAUGGGAACAAUAAACAUGAAAAUAUUUGUCUGCAAUCUGCAUUUUGUAUUUGCAGUCUGUCAAAAGUGUAAAGUCAUUUUUUUGAAUACACAAAAAUGUACUCAAAAUCAAGCUUUCUUGUUAGUGAUAUGUGAACACUAUUACUAAUUAUUUAAGGAGUUUGAUCUGAUUUUCUGAUUUGUUAUUGUUGUAAUGGGGAAAAGUGCUUUCAGCAAUCAAAUGAGAGAUAUAUUGAACUGCCUUAAAUGUAAUAAACAUGAAAAUAUUCCUCUGAGUGAUUGGAAGAUAGAGGGCAAAAUCUUGCAAUGUAGUCUCAACCAUCUGAUUGUGAAGAAUGAUAUCCUAGAAAGCUGAAGGAAAAAUAACAGUAAGGAUUCAGAGGGAGAUGAAUGUAAUCCUGCAAACAUCGCUGGAGACUAGUUGCCAUAGUUUUUGUGCAGGGUAUUUUUUGGAUGUUUGAAUAAUAAUAUAGGAAAUAUUUUUUCCCAGUGAAUCAUCAUAUACACUAUAUCAUAUACACAUAUCAUAUACAUGCAUUAUUCAGUCCACUUCUUAAAAGUUCAUUUAAUACUGUUUAUGUACGUUAAUCUACAUUUUUCUUUUUCUCCAUUAAGAUAACUUCUACUGUAAAGAAGAAUUCACUCAGAUAUGCUUUAUUAUACCAUUAAUAUACAUUCCUAAUAACCACAUGGAAGAUUAGUAUGGGGUAGUUAAUGUGCUGUAAAUUCACACCUGAACUUAAAUUAUAGUAAUGGGGCUGAGAAAAAGGCGAAUAACUACAUAUGUUUGUUUCAUAUAAGUUUAAAAUUUAAACUAUGGAUAAUUUUCUUGUUACUGUGCUCAAGAUAGCUUUUCUGCUGUAAACAUAGACUUAAUUUAGCAGUCAAGUGGGUUAUGAUUGUAAACAAAAGGUGACUGUCAAAGUAAAUAGACUUCUAUGGAUUUUUUAAAAAAUUAUUUUACUUUAGCAACUCAUAGUAUAUAUUAGCAACUCAUAGUAUAUACUAGCAGGUAGUCUACAAUAAAAAAAAUAAUUUGUUGCUAAAGUAUAUAGCUUAUAAAAAUAUGCAUUUUGAGCUAGUGUUUUAUGGAUAUAUAACUUGUCGUGUUGUGAAUGAAGAGCAUAGAUUAUUACUAUUUUUAAAAAAUAUAAUUCGGGCAAUAUCUUCUCUUGUUUAUUAUGAUGUAUACAGAUCUGAGGAUUUGAGAUUAGAAGAAGACAUGUUUUCCUCCUCUGGAUAUACCAACAAGUGCAGAGUCCUGUUAACUGAUAUGCUCCCAAUAGUCUAUUCUAAUUGACAUCUUGAACAUUUUUUAAUUUCAUCGUUAUUGGCCAUAUUACUGAGAGCUGAUAACUGAUAUAAAUCCGUUUCCAUAGUUUAACUGGAAUAACUGCUCUCUACCCUGGAGUACACUCUGAAAGGAAGAAAGUCUUACCAAAUUGUGAAAUUUUGAAGCUCUGCUACUGUCAUUACAGAGUACAGAAUGAAUUGCAGGUGAGGUUAUGUCACUUACAGGUGUUUCUGCAAUUGUGGUGUCAUUUUAAAAUACAUCUCCAAAGAAAAGCAAUCUCCACUAAUCCACUCCAAAAGCUGCAGUAAUAAUGAAGCCUGAUUUCUCUUAAUGAAUGUCUUUAACUAUCAUUCAUUGUUAAAUUUUGACUUCUCACAGUGGAAGUAGGAGCACCCUAGAAUAAUAUGUCUACUUUUGUUUUAUAUGGUCAUAGAUAAAUAAUGCUGCAGAAUGAAAUCAAGGUACAUAAUUAUAAAAAAAAAAGUAAAAAAAAAAAAAAAAAGUCAGGUGAUAUAUAUCCACCUGAUUCCAAAUAGUGAGCAUUGCCUUGAUGUUGCACGCACAUUCCAGAUACGCUUUAUUCUAGUAACUGUAUUAUUCAGUGUAUUUUGGACUGGAAUAGUUCUAGCAUGAGUGUGAAAUCAUCUCUUUAAAUCUAUUUAAAAGCCACAGGCAGACUGCUGUGAGGAUUCAGCAGAGCUUCUUGUAGAAAAAAUGCAUAGAAACCAUACGACCCUCGGACAUUACAUUUGUUUUAUUCAUAUCUGUUCACAUCUUGUCUGUGUGCCCUACCUAAGUCAGAGCCCACUGAAGCCAAAAUUGCCAUGGACAUUAACAGAAGUAGGAUAACUUUUAAACUGAUAAGUUUAUAUUUCAUACAUUAAGAAAAAAAGUCCUUCAACAAUCAUGAAAGUGAGUUUCAAUUGGAAAAAUAAACUGGGGGAAUGUGUCUUUGAAAAUCCCAUUCUCAGCAACCAGUAAAUGAAAAAAGAUUUAAAAAACGUUUACUGGCAAUAAAAAAUAUAUUGUCAAUACCUAAAUAGCAAUAGUAAUGGGAAUAUAUGUGUAACAUGCAGCUGAUGAGAAUUAGGUAUGUCUAUGCAGCGAAAAGAUAUAGACUUUUCCAGUCUUUAUUUACUUCAGUAAAGUUAGGGAGUAAAUAUCUGAAUAUUUUAAAGAAUGGUAUAAAGUUUGAAAAUAAAAGAAUCCCAAUAAAAUCACUGAAAAGAAAGGAAGACUUCAUAGAAGCAAAAUCUAGCGGCAAAGUGGUAUAAUAGAGUUGUCAGUCAAUGUAAGCAAUCUUACUAAGUAACAGUGAACAUUCCUAGUAAUAAGUAUACACAGAAAAUAGAGUAAGUGAUCUAUGUGUCUGUAUCAGAUCUCUUUUAGGAAUGAAACAAAAAAUUACACAACAAUGAAAAAAACGAAACGUAAGAAAGCAGGCUAAGAACAGUAGAACAAUCAGAAUAAGCAACAAAAAUUAGUUUCAAGGCAAAGUAAUAAUAAAACUUGUAUAAAUAAAUGGAAAGAUCAAGAAAGAAAAUAUUGUAUGGCACAGUAAAGAAUGCUGUAUGCAGGUCUUUUCCUUUGUAAAAGAAAAAAUACUGUGAUGGAUUUUAAGAUAGUAGGUUUGAAGGGUGUACUAAUUUUAAUUGAAAAAGAGUAGGUUACAUGAAAUGUAGGUAAGUAAAAUGAAGGUGAAAGGUAAGGUGAAACCUUCUUCUCAUCACUGAUUUGUAGAGGUCUACCUUCUGUCUGAACUAAUUCUGGAUCUGCAAAUUCCAUAUGGAUUAUAUAACUGAUGAUAUCUAAGAAUAAGUCAAAUAAUAUAAAACUGUUUUUAAGGAUGGGUAACUGUAGGAUUGGAAGAACAAUUUUCUUCUAAUCUAGAUCUCUUGGUCUUCCACGAAGGCCAAUUAUUAAAUUAUUAAUUUAUAAGACACUAGCUAGUUUAUCAUGUCAGUGAUGGGAAUUUUCAUCCUAAGUGAGCUGACCACAAGUGGGGAAAAUAAACAAAUAAUAGAACUUGGUCUUUUCAUAUGUGAUGCUAUGUCAUAUGACAGUAAACAUUACUUAGUAGGUAAGUUUAAAAAAAAAUUCUGUUAAUAUUGUCUGAAUAUAUUUAGAAUAAAAUAUAGAGAACAAAAUGAAGUAAUGUCUAUUUGAUGUGAUAAAAGUAGGAAUGAAAUUGUAAAAUCUUUGUUUGAAAAAGGAGACAGAAAAAAAGAAUAAUGUAUUUUUCUUAGAAGGAAAAAUGUCAUUUACAGUUUGAUGCUUUUAAACUGUGAACAGAUUUUGUCUUGUAUCUCACAUUUUAGGUUUAACAAUAUUCCAUUUGCUUGUAAGCUAAUGCUUUGAGUUAUCUCAGGUAUUCAAACACAUGACAGAAUUCACUUCUGAUCUUUGAACUCCAUCUGUCUGACCAGUCCUUUAUGUUUGCAGUAGUCCAUUUUAUGAAUAAUAAUCUAUCUUCCUUUUUAAAUAUGCUGCUUAGAACAAUUUGUGCAUCUAUAGUUGUCUCAUUUGACUACUGCAGUGUGAUAGAAAGUUGUCUGCUAAUAUCAUUUAAAUACGCAGAAAACAUGUUCAAUUUGUGUAAUCAGUCUACAAUCCAGAAGAAUAACUUUACUAAAUUAAAAGGAACAGUUGUUAUUAUCACUAUUACUGUCACUAUUGCUAUAAAUUAUAUACUAUAAAAUAUUAAAAAAUGGUCACCAUAAUCUUUAAUUUGGUUUGAACAUCAUUGCUAAUUUCCCAAAAGCAAUGAUAUUCAGUUUUAGGUCUACAAUCAGGAAAUUUAGCAAAGCAUUUCUUGAGGAAUGAACCAGCAAUUAAAUUCUACUGUAUGUACUAUAUUUUACUAUGUAGGUAUAAAACUUACUUUAUGUACUCACCCAUUAUUCUCUGAACGUAUGAACUUGGCUAAAUAUUUAAGGUAUUUCAAAUGCUGGAUCUAGAUAAAUGCUCUUAUACCCUUGUAUUAAAACUAGUCUAUUACUGAUUAUCAAAUAAGAAAAGAAUGACUGCCUUCCUCAGCUCCUAUGUAGUUGUAUAGUCAGCAGUCGUCACAUCCUUUUCUACAUAAGAAACAGUACUAUUUGUUCUUUUUCCCCACUGUCAUAAUGCUAUUCCUUAUUCUUCAUUUGCUUCCCCCUAGCAUUUUUUUUCUUGUUUUAAAGAGCCAAUUGAAAAGGAUCUUACUUGUAUUCAGUGGUUUGUAAUUGCCACCUGAAUUAUGGUAUUAUUUUUAUAUUUUCCUUCACAAUUUCCUUAUAAUACUCUUAUAAUACUCUUUUAUUUUAUUUAUUUAUUUUUUUUCUAUAGCGCAUAGUAAUUCUUCCAGGGAAACAGUUUCUCUUCUUGUCCAUUUCCUCUCAUGAUACUUGCUUUGUAACAUCAUACUGAUAUGAUACAGAGAUCAUUAGAUAGCUAACGUUUAUUAAAGACAAUAACUAUGUCUACAAACUAGACUAAACCUCUAAAUAGGACCACUUGAUCUUGGUUUCAGCUUAUGAAAUGAAGGUCAAAGUACUAUUAGCCCAAAUAAUGGAGAGUUUUCUUUAUGGUCAGUGAAGAGUGAAGUAAACCUAGAUAAAGAAGGAAGGUUGAGAUGAGAUAAAAAAAUUGAUGAGGAUUAAAAGAUUUGAGGUGAAGAUGGAAAGACAGGAACUAUGAUCUCAAAUGCCUUCUUUUGGAAACCAGAAGAAAAAAGUAUUCUAGAAUUCCAAGGUGUAAUGCAUUGGGUUAGGUUACUCACAUGCGCCUUCCAAAGCCACUGGAACUAAUGACUCAGCUUGAGAAUUUCAAGUCAUGACUUCUGAAGAUGAGGAUUUCUAUCAGGAGAAAGGUGGAAUUGAAUUGAAAUUGGAAAAAAUCUGCUAGUGUGACAAGUCAAACUACCAUUAUUGUUGAUUUCUACCUGAGGAUCUCACUUGUGACUGUCUCAAUUGCUUUAAAGAUCAGAUUUCUUAAAAUAUUUUGGAUGACAGAAAUUACUGUGCAUUUUGGGAAUUAAUGUCUUCUAUGUGAUGAUUGAUCAUAUAUACUCUAUUCUGAAAGUGUACCAUGGUUGCUCUGAGUAUUUAAAUGGAUGGUAUACUUAACUUUAUGUUGAUGAUAUUAAUAAUGCAAAGUGAAAUAUUUAUUAUACAGGCAAAGAUGUUUGUUGUAUUAAAAUACAUCUUAUUACCAUCACAUAAGCCAUCACAAUCUUAGAAUAUAUUAUUUCAGUUUACUAGACGGCAUAAAGUUACCUGAGGGAAUGGCAUGAAGCUGUGACAGGGCAGGGUCAGGUUGGAUAUCAGGAAAAUGCUCUUCAGCAGAGGUUGGUCAGGCAGUGGAACAGGCUCCUCAAGGAGGUGGUCAUUGCAACAAGCUGCUGGAGUUCAAGGAUUGUCUGAACGAUGCUCUUCUAUGGUCUUAUUUUGGGGUGGUUGUGUGUGGAGCCAGGAGCUUGACUGAAUGAUCCUUAUGGGUUCUUUCCAACUCAGGAUAUAAUACGAUUCUGUGAUAUAUUUAAUGUAACAUUAAAAAGCAUAUAUCGAAUUAGAGGAAAAUGUAAAAAUGGCUAAGACAUAUAUGACCAUUCACAGAAUAAAUAUGAUGAAUGUUUAGAUUAUUUUACCCUCAGUGAAUGCUAUUGUGUUAUCAGUUAAACUGAUGCACUUCAUUUGACUAUUUUUAGAGUAAGAUUUUAUCAAACGUGUAUUUAAGGAUACUUUCAUAAUCAUGAUCAUAAUGUAAUGUAGCGUAACAACACCAUCACCAGACUGUGUUAACUAAGCUAUUAUGAAGUAAAAGGCAUUGUGAAGGAAGGAUUCUUAGCAUCUACUUUAUCAAUCUUUAUUCAUAACAACAUAUACCUGGUAAAAUUCUAAAAUUCCUUGGUUGAAGUUUGAUUCUGAUUAAAAAAAAUAUUCAUAAAAACACAGAAUGAAAAAAAUACAAAUCUCAUUACCUUGACAUAAGUAUGUAAAUCCAUACCAAUACACUGAAUACACUUCCAGUGCCUGGAUAAAAUAAAUUUAAUCCACUUGACCAAUCUAGAAACACAAAGUGCAAUUCUACAUCACUGUUUCAAUAGUAAAUAUAAAUAUAUUUGUCCUGCUUUCAGCCGAGACAGAGUUGAUUUUUCCUUCAUAAAGUCUGGUAUGAUGCUUUGUUUUGGCCUUGGGAGAAGAAUGUUGAUAACACACUGAAGUUAUUUCAUAGAUUUAAUUUUUUGUUUGUGCUUCCUUUGGUUUACUUGUCUAAGGGCAUAAAAACAGUAUCAGCUGAUGAAAUUCCUGUUCAUGUGUUUCUGCUUUUGCUCUCACACUAUCAGGAUGGCCCCACUGGAGAAAAACAUAAGGAGACCCUUUACUGGAUGUCUUCCAUUCUCACAGAGGAAUCACAUAAAUCCUAAAGAAGAAUAAACGUUUUUGGAUAUUUUCUCUGAGGCAGCAUAUAUGAAAAUAUCCUUUCCAUGAAAAGCAUACCUGAAACAGAAUCAAGGUGUAUGUUUCUAGAUUUUAAACAAUGUAGUAAUUAUCUGCACUCUGGAAGUCAUAAUAUGCAAAACUACCAUGUCAGCAAAGGGUGUCUUUAACUAUAGUGGAAAAAUGAAUUCCUUUUAUUCCAACAAAUACCUAGAAAAUUUCAGUUAAUUGAAAUUCCCUUUCAAUAUAUCACAUAGCUAUAAAACUUUCUUUUUCUCUUUUCAGAAGUCUUUCUCUUUCCAAUUUAGCAUGCAUAAUGCUUGCAAGUUGUAUUCAGUGAAAAUGAAAAGCUUUAAGUCUCUGAGACUCAUUACUAUGUAAAUGAACUAACAAGCAUGUGCACAGCAAAAUAGACUAUAAAAAGUAAAAUACAGUUUAGUUUACCAAUGUUUUGUAAGUGUUUUAACAGCUUGAACAAUUAAGUUUGGAACUAUGGUGAAUUGGAUUUGUAUGUGUGUGCUUUUUCUGUUUGAUUGGCAUUUUUUUUCCCUUUUGUUUAGCUCUAAUUACUUUGUUAGGUUACUUUCAAGUUGCGUUUACUAGGCAUAAUUAUCUUUGCCAUCAUUUAUGAGAAUAUAUCCGAAUCUCUAGUUGCUGGACCGUCAAGAACUGGCAAAUAGAAAGAAAAUACACAAGCUUAUUAAAAUACUAUUAGUUGUCCAAGAAGUCUAUGAUUGGAAGAAAUCAUUUUCCUGCUUUUCCUCAUUGUGAGGGAAAGCUAUCAGGUGUGGAGGGGUAUGCCUUCUAUCAAGCUGAGAAUGGGAGUGAAACAACUUUCCUUGCUUUUGUAACACAUGAUAUUAUGAGCUAUUAUGGCAAACAUACAUAUGAGAACAUGGUUUUUAAAUACACAUUUUCAUCACUCUAUGGUAAACAUAUGUACUGCAACAGAGGUGUCAAGGAUUUUAGGCAUUGUAGCAGUAGGAGGGCAAUACCACUCAAUGAACUGUA